rnacentral:rRNA from 1 species
AGGCCGUCUGUUAAGCGUGUUGUGAAAUGUCGGGGCUCAACCUGGGCAUUGCAGCGCGAACUGGCAGACUUGAGUGCACGGGAAGUAGGCGGAAUUCGUCGUGUAGCGGUGAAAUGCUUAGAUAUGACGAAGAACUCCGAUUGCGAAGGCAGCCUGCUGUAGUGCAACUGACGCUGAAGCUCGAAAGCGUGGGUAUCGAACAGGAUUAGAUACCCUGGUAGUCCACGCGGUAAACAAUGGAUGCUCGCUGUUUGCGUCUGACGUAAGCGGCCAAGCGAAAGCGUUAAGCAUCCCACCUGGGGAGUACGCCGGCAACGGUGAAACUCAAAGGAAUUGACGGGGGCCCGCACAAGCGGAGGAACAUGUGGUUUAAUUCGAUGAUACGCGAGGAACCUUACCCGGGCUUGAACUGCCGGCGAACGAUUCAGAGAUGAUGAGGCCCUUCGGGGCGCCGGUGGAGGUGCUGCAUGGUUGUCGUCAGCUCGUGCCCGUGAGGUGUCGGCUUAAGUGCCAUAACGAGCGCAACCCCUGUUCUCAGUUGCCAUCGGGUGAUGCCGGGCACUCUGUGAAGACUGCCUCCGCAAGGAGUGAGGAAGGUGGGGAUGACGUCAAAUCAGCACGACCCUUACGUCCGGGGCUACACACGUGUUACAAUGGCAUGUACAGAAAGCGGGCCGUAUGCAGAUACGGUCAAAUCCCUAAAACAUGUCUCAGUUCGGACUGGGGUCUGCAACCCGACCCCACGAAGCUGGAUUCGCUAGUAAUCGCGCAUCA